CAUAUUGAGUGACACAUUGAGUAGGUAUUUAAAUGGAAAUAUUUAUGUCUAUGUUAACAUUCUGAAUGCAGUAAUGAUAUGGUGAUUAUGUAAAUAUUAAUGAUGCCCAUAUUAACAUUCUGAACCCUUUGUGGAGUAAGGAUUUCCACCCAGUUCUUCUAGAAUUUUACUUGAACUCUCUACAGCUCCCAUAGAUGUCUGUGUUACAAAUCUCACAAAGUCCUUAUGACAUCAUAAUGGGAACUCAACAUUUUGGCAAAAGUUCUAAUCACAUAUUUGUGAUGGUACUCCUCAAAGGGUGAAUGCCAUCUAUAUCAGUUGUAGUCAUCACUGUGUUGACGUGUAGUGAUUCAACGACUCACAUUAUGUAAUGUAUUGUAUUUGAUGUUCAUUGUAAUAUUGCUGCUUUGCUACUGAAAUAAAAUAUAUUUGACCCAG